rnacentral:lncRNA from 1 species
GCUUACUGGACUUAGACUGUCAUGCUGACUUCCUUUUCUUUCCUUUUUCCUCUGCUACAAAUAGCUUCGCAACUGCAGUGAAAUGAAACCUAAAGUGACAGCCUGAGACAAAGAGGAAAGCCAAUGCAUGCUGUGCUGUGCAGGGCCUGGCUGAGUGGGUGACGUGGCUCAGAGAGCCACCAUUCGAGUGUCACAGCUGUCACCAUCCAUUCCCUGCACAUCAAAUCCAUUCUGCUUCUGUCUGGGGCAGGAGCUUGUUACCUCAGGGUGAAGAGAAUACUGGAACAAAGAGGAAUUUCUACUGUGUUCUGCUUUGCUUGGCUAGCUGCUGUUCUCAAAUAGAUAACAGAUAAACAUAAUGAACUCUUCUGAAUGAAGGCUGAA